rnacentral:rRNA from 1 species
UCGCGAAACCUUUGCAAUACACGAAAGUGUGACAGGGCUAUCCCGAGUGCCAUCCGCUGAGGAAGGCUUUUACCCAGUCUAGAACGCUGGGGGAAUAAGGAGAGGGCAAGUCUGGUGUCAGCCGCCGCGGUAAUACCAGCUCUCCGAGUGGUGUGGAUGUUUAUUGGGCCUAAAGCAUCCGUAGCUGGCUAGGUAAGUCCCUUGUUAAAUCCACCGAAUUAAUCGUUGGAUCGCGGGGGAUACUGCUUGGCUAGGGGACGAGAGAGGCAGACGGUAUUUUCGGGGUAGGGGUGAAAUCCUAUAAUCCCGGGAAGACCACCAGUGGCGAAGGCUGUCUGCUAGAACGCGCCCGACGGUGAGGGAUGAAAGCUGGGGGAGCGAACCGGAUUAGAUACCCGGGUAGUCCCAGCUGUAAACGAUGCAGACUAGGUGUUUGGACGGCCACGUGCCGUUCUAGUGCCGCAGGGAAGCUGUUAAGUCUGCCGCCUGGGGAGUACGAUCGCAAGAUUGAAACUUAAAGGAAUUGGCGGGGAGCACCACAAGGGGUGAAGCUUGCGGUUU